UACGGGGGGGGUAAGCGUUGUUCGGAAUUACUGGGCGUAAAGGGCUCGUAGGCGGCCAACUAAGUCAGACGUGAAAUCCCUCAGCUUAACUGGGGAACUGCGUCUGAUACUGGAUGGCUUGGAUUCGGGAGAGGAAUGCGGAAUUCCAGGUGUAGCGGUGAAAUGCGUAGAUAUGGGGAGGAACACCGGUGGCGAAGGCGGCCAUCUGGACGGAUACUGACGCUGAGACGCGAAAGCGUGGGUAGCAAACAGGA
rnacentral:rRNA from 1 species